CCUACGGGUGGCUGCAGUUAGGAAUUUUGGGCAAUGGGCGGAAGCCUGACCCAGCAACGCCGCGUGGGUGACGAAGGCCUUCGGGUCGUAAAGCCCUUUUCCCAGGGAAGAUAGUGACGGUACCUGGGGAAUCAGCCCCGGCUAACUACGUGCCAGCAGCCGCGGUAAUACGUAGGGGGCAAGCGUUGUCCGGAUUUAUUGGGCGUAAAGCGCUCGCAGGUGGUUGGUUGCGUCGUGCGUGAAAGACCCUGGCUCAACUGGGGGAUGUCGUGCGAAACGGGCGAACUAGAGGCCAGUAGGGGGAUGCGGAAUUCCGGGUGUAGUGGUGGAAUGCGUAGAGAUCCGGAGGAACACCAGCGGCGAAGGCGGCAUCCUGGACUGGGCCUGACACUCAGGAGCGAAAGCGUGGGGAGCGAUCCGGAUUAGAUACCCUUGUAG
rnacentral:rRNA from 1 species